rnacentral:misc_RNA from 1 species
AGUAUGGUAUUAAUCAACAAUACAAUGAUUAUCAAUUUGACAAUAAGCAUUUUAUCUGAUAACUCCACAGAAAUAUCCGAAACAUGGAAACUGAGGUGAUGUAUGUUCAAGGAACAAUAUAAGAUCUGGGGCCCUAAUAACAUGCAUGAAACCAGCAGAUUUGUCAUUGCUUACAUGUCCAUUCUUCUUUGACUAGACCAGACAAAAUUGCAAAUUUCUUUUAUCUGAUUUAGUCGAUAAGCUUUCAGAUUCAAUACCAUGCCUUUUGACAUAACACCCUACCAAUAACGGAGACUGAUAAUUUUCCCCCUUCUCACUCUUCACCCAACUUUGCUCCAUCUACCCCUCUCUCACUUACCCUAGCUGCUUAAAGCUAUCAAUUUCAGGAACCAACAACCAUAGAAGAAUUUACAAAAUGAUAAAAAAAUUCGAGGAAAAUUGCUCAAAUCAAUAAACCCAUUAAUUUUCUUUUUUUAUUUUUUCAGGAAAUUUAUCAUCAAGUUCUAAGAUGAUGUGAUAUGGACAAGAAAAAGACAUCGACAAAACAGGUAAAAGAGACAAUUACAGUAAAUUAAAUUGUGGCCUAAUAAUUCUUCAAUUUGAGAUUUCACUGGAAAAUAAUCAAAUUAUCUAACGUUAAAAAUGAGGCAGGAAAUUUCUGCCGGCUUCAACGUUAUUAUUAUACAUUAGAUAUUAGACAACCCUAUACUUAAAUCACAAAGUAUUGAAAAAGGACUCUUCAAAGCUCGAGCUUGACAUGGUAAAGUUGAUGAUUCAUAAUAGUUAUUUCAGUCGCCAACAGAUCAUCUCAUGACUUCUAGUCUAAGAUGCUAAAAAAAGGAACUAUAAUUUUCCUUACCAUCGCAGAAGAAAAGAUAACUCCAAUGAACAAUUGUAAGCUUUUUUAUUUUUUCAAUAUACCAAUUCAGCAUCUUUCUACCUAGAAAAUAGAAGAAAACGAUACAAAACUCA